rnacentral:sRNA from 1 species
GCAACCACCGUUAAGUCUCCUAUAAUCUAACACACACAGUGCCACUCACUCCUCAAAGACAGGCUGGCACCAAAAAGUGGGCCAUUUGCAGAUGAUGUUCAUGAAUCAUAACCGCUUUCUACUACCUCUUCCCCGAGGGAGAUUCCUCCCAUGUUUUGAUUUCACCAAUGAAUGACCGACUACAAUCUGCACUGUAUAGAUUACAUCUGUAAUCCGAUGCUACCUAGGGUGGGGCUGCAUAGACGGAUUUUGCAACGCCCCGCGCAUGAACGAACAGUGGAUUGGAAAGUUCAUUUUCGCCUAACUGCCAAGCGC